ensembl:misc_RNA 7SK 7SK RNA
GGAUGUGAGGGCGAUCUGGCUGGCUAGGCAGGUAUCCCCGUCCUCCCUCACCGCUCUAUGUGUCCCUCCUGAAGGUGCGCGCUCAUUUGAAGAUGAUGAUCUUCCCCAAAAUGGUCUUUGGUCGAGGAUAUACAAGCAGCUGCGCUCCCCUGCUAGAGCCUCCGAACAAGCUCUCAAGGUACUAUAUACUCCUAAAGGCACUGCUAGGUUAUCAACCAAAGCUUUCAUUACUCCCUUCACUACAGACAGUCACACUUCAAAGUUCUGCCCAAUC